AAGCAGUCAACGGCAAGGCCGAGGUGUAUGAAGUCGACGACGACGAUGACGAAGAGGAGGAGAACGAGGAUUCGGAUGAGAUCGUGGAGCUGAAGGAUGACGACGAAGAUGGCGGCGAUGACGAUGAUGAGGAAGAUGGUGGUGACGAUGAUGAGGGAGACAACGACGACGACGACGACGACGUGGAGGAGGUCACUCCGCAGGAGUAUCACCGCCAAGUGCAGGCGGCAGCGGACGAUGACGAUGAGGAAGAGGAAGAAGAAGGCGGGGACGGCGGUGAUGGAGACGACGACGACGACGACGACGAUGACGACGACGACGACGAAGAUGCGGAGGAAGAAGAGGUACAUCUCAUCCGUAAUCCUCUUUCUGGCUAAACUUCGUCUGCUUGAUUAACCAACCUCGUAGAUCUGAUCAUCUGGUUACUGUGAUCGGUAAUUACUCUUUAUUUUUCUGCAAUUGUUUCUUCAAUUCUUGUAGAUCUGGAUUUUGUUCUCCUCAAAUCUUAAUUUUGAAUCUGGAAUACUGCAAGUUGAAACUGCUCUCAAUUUCUUCAAUCGAUCAUAUUCAUAUUGUCGAUCUAUUUCCCUACAUAUCGAUGCCUCUUCUUGCUCAAAGUCGGUGUUUGAUUUGGUCUUCAGGUUAGUAGUUGAAAUGGUCUGCUCUGUGGAAGGGAACAACACUGUUUCAUAACAUGUUUGAUUCCUUUUUUCUUCUUUUUGCAGUUGAUCUCGAACAGCAGUAAUAUUGUCAUGUUAAUUAGUAGCACAAUGAAAUCUGGAGUUUCUCUGUCUUUAUCUAUCUCUUCACCUUUCCAUUUUUUCUGCUGCUUGAAGCAACUCAAAUUUGUUUCCUUUCUUGGUGUAAUCGUUGCAAGUCAAAUUUGAUGUAUGUUCUUAAUCUUUCAUCCAGUUCUGAUAUAUGCAAACUAGACAUGAACCGGUUGGUCGUAGCAUUCAUCUUCCAUCAAAGUUUGGGACUUUGAUGUUCUUGUUUGCAUUGAGAAUUACUAUUUGUUUCCAGUAAAUAAGAGCUCCAAGAGAAAUAUGUGAAUUAUAUCUAACUUUCUUGCCUUGGUUCUUUGGUACGUCUGUUUUGGUCCGCAGGAAGAACUAGGAACCGAAUACCUUGCACAACCAGUAGUUCGUGCAGAGGGCCAAGAAGAUGCAAGCGACUUCGAAGCUGGCGAAGAAACCGACGACGACAUCGGAGACGCAGAUGGCACUCGGGGUAAUGGCGGGGGCCAUUCGACGAGGGACGAGAUGUCGUCGAAGCGGAAGAGAACAGCUAAAGAUGAUUCGGAUGACGACGACGACGACGACGACGACGACGGCGAUGACGAUGAUGAGAGGCCACCUAAGCGAUAGUGCCUGGUGAUCAUCUUGCCUCCCCAGUUCGACUGUUGCUUGUUAAUGGACCGGAGACUGAGAUGGCCAGGUUGGGGAUAAGAUCU
rnacentral:lncRNA from 1 species